UAACCGGAAGAAAUUCCGACUAAUACAGCAUAACACUCCUGAGGGACAUCCUUCGGGAGUCAAAGGAGGCGACUCCGGUGACGGAUGGGCAUGCGGCGCAUUAGGUAGUUGGUAGGGUAACGGCCUACCAAGCCGACGAUGCGUAGGGGUUCUGAGAGGAAGGUCCCCCACAUUGGAACUGAGACACGGUCCAAACUCCUACGGGAGGCAGCAGUGAGGAAUAUUGGCCAAUGGCCGGAAGGCUGAACCAGCCAGGUCGCGUGAGGGAAUAAGGCCCUAUGGGUCGUAAACCUCUUUUGUCAGGGAGCAAAGGCGUCCACGUGUGGACGAGAGGAGAGUACCUGAAGAAAAAGCAUCGGCUAACUCCGUGCCAGCAGCCGCGGUAAUACGGAGGAUGCGAGCGUUAUCCGGAUUUAUUGGGUUUAAAGGGUGCGUAGGCGGAGUGUCAAGUCAGCGGUAAAAUUUCGGGGCUCAACCCCGUCGUGCCGUUGAAACUGACGCCCUUGAGUGAGUGAGAAGUAAGCGGAAUGCGUGGUGUAGCGGUGAAAUGCAUAGAUAUCACGCAGAACGCCGAUUGCGAAGGCAGCUUACCGGCGCUCAACUGACGCUGAGGCACGAAAGUGCGGGUAUCGAACAGGAUUAGAUACCCUGGUAGUCCGCACAGUAAACGAUGAAUACUAGAUGUCCGGGGCGAAUGAGUCCUGGGUG
rnacentral:rRNA from 1 species